GACGUAGGGGGCGAGCGUUGUCCGGAAUUACUGGGCGUAAAGAGCACGUAGGCGGAUAUUUAAGUCAGGUGUGAAAGACCGCAGCUUAACUGCGGGGUUGCAUUUGAAACUGGGUAUCUUGAGGGCAGGAGAGGGCAGUGGAAUUCCUGGUGUAGCGGUGAAAUGCGUAGAAAUCAGGAGGAACACCAGUGGCGAAGGCGGCUGUCUGGACUGACCCUGACGCUGAGGUGCGAAAGCGUGGGUAGCAAACAGGAUUAGAUACC
rnacentral:rRNA from 1 species